rnacentral:misc_RNA from 1 species
AGCAUCUGACUUUUUCUAUUUGACAUUUGUGAACUUGUGUAUGGUAUCGCUUUAUUAUUGUCAAACAACGAUUUAGAGAUGGAGGUACGAUUUGUAUCAUACACUUGAUUUUUCAAACUUUGAACCAUAGUAUCCAAAAAUAAUAAUUAUAAUAGUCUCCUUUCGUCGAUAUGAGGCUUGUAAUUUUUUUAUUCUGAUAGUGCAUUUAAUUUAUU